AGGUGCGCUUGCAUGGCAGGUCACCAAAAUCUUAAUAAAAAAUAUUUAUUUUGUGGUCCUGAGGGGAGAUCGCACGGGAGUUGCCCGGGUUCUCCUCUCCUGAGUGUUGUGCUUGUGUGUGUGGGUAUCAUUCUCCGUUUCUGUUGCCUUUUGCUAGAGUUGACACUAUCGAUCCAUCGGAUUUGCAUUCUAAAUCAGCCUCAGCUCAAAAUCACCGUGCCUAUAAACCAAUCCACUUGCAGUUCGCGAAAGGUUUGGUAUCAUGCCCUGCUGACUUUUAAAACAGAACAUAUUUGCAAAAUACUGCGCUUUAAUUAAUAUACAAGACCUAUCCAUGCAGUCAGUUCAAUUUUAACAUUCCAACGUUGAUGUAUCCUAUUUGAACUAUCAUUUUUUUGGCUUUAAAAUUUGCCUCUAGAGAUAAGCAAGUAUUCUAUUGUUGGCUUUAAAAUUUGCCUUUAGAGAUAGGUUUCCUUUUUAUGUUUAUUUUUUGCCUUACCCUAAUUUGGUAACUUGCCAGUAGCAAUGAUGAAUUACUGA
rnacentral:lncRNA from 1 species